GCUGAAAUGAAUAAAAAUGAAUCAUAAGAAUAUCUUGAACAGUCUGAGCUGUUUAAGGCAGAAACAAGGUGUGAACAGUAUGGCCUCUGCUGUAGCCUGUUUGUCAGAGGGUGUCUUGGGUUCAUAAUGUCUCUCCUCGGUCGGGACCACUUUCAUCCCCUAUAGAGCUGUGAUCUUCAUGUCACCGCUUUCCCGGAUACUCCUGAUUAACUCCUUCAUGUUCAGAAAAUGAAUGAACUGCCCAUCCCUGAUCCCUUUUCGAGCUUUUCUCCGGCUGGCGGGCUGUCGCAUCCUCUUCUUGCGCAGAGCUGCAUGGCAACGGGAGGAGGAGGCUGCUCGGGAUGAAGGAGGGUACCAGCGUCCCACGUGUCCUCCUCACCGCAGACCCAACGCAUUGCUCUUCGGUUUCCCAUCCCUUCGUUUCCGCAUACUGCAGAUUCGCAUAUACACACACAUACAACCUCAUCCAUACACCCAUACGCACCCGCGCAGGCUUGCGGAGCUAUGAUUCCGCGGUGCGCACUCUCCCGUUCCACACAAUUUCUUCACUGAUCACUCUCUAGGCCUGUAUCCAUCAUCUCCGACACAGGCCUGUCACUUAAUUUUUUCAUCAUUCUGAUAUGCAAAUCCAAAUUCUCUGUAGCAGUGUUGACCGGAGCUGAGAGGGCGAGUGAUAGAGAGGGGGAGAGAUGAGAGGAGGCACAUCGUCAGAUGUUUAGUAGAUUGAUUUUGGAUCCUCGCCAUCAUUUGUGCGAUUUUUUAGUCUUUUCCUCACUCCGUCUGCCGGGUUCGUGACAUCCUGCGGCUCUCCAUGCUGUAAUCCGGGGGAAUAUGUGAAGAUCAUGCUGGCGGUGUGGUGCUUCACGGUCUUUGCUGCAGUGGGCGAGAGGCUUGCAGUCUCAGGUGUUGACAGGAACCUGGAGCAGGAUGGAAGCAUGUGGGACUGGUUUGCCCCAGUGGGCCGGGCGGAUAGUGGGGACACUGCAACCGAGAUCAUUUAUCCAAAGCGCCUCGUACAGCAAAUCAAGUCGGAGGAAGAAAUGGCUCAUGACUACUUGGGUACCAGGGUGAAGAAUAGCACCGGGGACACCUUGCCUGUCCACUUGGCCCAGAGCUGUUUCCAAGUAGAAGCCUUUGGACGCACCUUCACUUUAGACCUGGAAUUAAAUCACCAUCUUCUGUCUUCAGAUUAUGUAGAACGGCACUUUAACCAGGAUGGCAGACCCUUUCAGUCUGUGGGAGGGGAACACUGCUACUAUCAGGGAAGGUUAAGAGGUUUACCAGAGUCCUGGGCAGCUGUCUCCACAUGCCAUGGCUUGUGUGGCAUGUUCUCUGAUGGCUUCUUCUCUUACGGUAUUGAGCCCUUUCACAAUGACAGCAAUCAGUAUGAUGGUGCUCACCUAAUACGCAGGAUGCCUGAUAUCAGACUUCCGGCCCAUUGUCCAGACUGUACAGAGGACAGUGAGUGGGAUGGCAGAGGAGGUGAUGAUGGUGAUGAUGAUGACAGACCGGACCAAGUGAGGGAGCAGCAGGCGUCUGGGGGUCUGCGACGGUCCAAGCGAAGUGUUCGCAAGCCCUCUGUGCAGACUGAGACCAAAUAUAUUGAGCUGAUGGUGGUCAAUGACAAUGAUAUGUUUGUACAGCUGCGUCGCUCAAGCAGCCAAACCAAGAACUUUGCCAAAGCUGUGGUCAACACGGCGGAUACGAUCUAUCAGGAACAGCUGAACACAAGGAUUGUACUGGUCGCCAUGGAGACCUGGACCUCUAAAAAUAUGAUGCCAGUAGUGGAAGACCCAUUGAUAACGCUGCAAAACUUCAUGAAGUACAGGAAGGACAACAUAAGAGAGCAGAGUGAUGUAGUCCAUCUUUUCUCAGGGCGUAACUUUCAUAGUAGCCGUAGUGGGACAGCCUACACAGGAGGGGUGUGCUCUCCAACAAGAGGAGGAGGAAUUAACGAGUAUGGAAAUGUAGGUGCGAUGGCCAUUACUUUGUGCCAGAGUCUUGGCCAGAACAUUGGGAUGAGGUGGAACAAUGCACGUAACUCUGCAGGAGACUGCAAAUGCCCAGAUGCCUGGGUGGGAUGCAUCAUGGAAGACACAGGAUUCCAUCUGCCCAGAAAGUUUUCUCGCUGCAGCGUUGACGAGUACAUCCAGUUCUUGCUCCAGGGAGGUGGCAGCUGCCUGUUCAACAAGCCCAACAAGCUCUUGGACCCUCCUGAGUGUGGGAAUGGGUUUGUGGAGCCAGGAGAAGAGUGUGAUUGUGGAUCCCAGCUGGAAUGUGCCCGUAGGGGAGGAGCCUGCUGUAAAAAGUGCACCCUUACCCAUGAUGCCAUGUGCAGUAAUGGACUCUGCUGCAGUGGCUGCAAGUAUGAGCAGAGAGGCGUGGUGUGUCGACAGGCUGUGAAUGACUGUGACAUCCCGGAAACUUGCACUGGAGACUCUAGCGAGUGCCCUCAUAAUGUCCACAAGCUAGAUGGAUACAUGUGUGAUAAUAGUCAGGGACGAUGUUACAGUGGACGAUGUAGGACUCGUGAUGGACAAUGCAAGGGACUCUGGGGCUAUAAUUCAGCAGACAGGUUUUGUUAUGAGAAGCUGAACGCUGAGGGGACAGAAAAAGGAAAUUGUGGCCCCGGUCCUGAUGGCCAAGGCUGGCUCCAGUGCAACAAGCCAGAUGUUUUAUGCGGGUUCCUUUUCUGUGCUAAUGUGACAAUGAAGCCAAAGUUUGGAGACCUCCAAGGUGAAGUGACCAGCUUCACCCUCUAUCACCAGAACAAGUACUUGGACUGCAGAGGUGGCCAUGCUCUGCUAGAGGACGGCUCAGACCUGGGCUAUGUGGAGGAUGGCACUCCAUGUGGUCCCAACAUGAUGUGUUUGGAGAGACGCUGCCUCCCUGUGGCUGCAUUCAACCUCAGCACAUGCCCAGGAUCCAACUUUGGACGCAUUUGUUCUGACCACGGGACCUGCAGUAAUGAAGUGAAGUGUAUCUGUGACAGGGACUACACCGGGAAGGACUGCAGUGUCUUCGAUCCCAUCCCUGAGCCCACGGUCGCAACAGGCCCAGAGAAGAAAGUCUGCCAAUGACACAGAGCAAUUGAGCAGCUGCUGCUCUUAUAGAGCCAAAAAAGCCAAAGCCACCCUGAGCAGGAGGGUGUCCAGCUGAAAGAGCAGGAGAGGUGGAAUGAGAACAAAGAACAUUCGAAGAGGAAGAUCUGGUGGAGGAUAAGAUCUGUCUGUCUUUCUGUCUCUGUGUCUUGUCCACUUCUGUCUUCCUCCUCGCACUGUGUCAUUUCACGUUGAAGAAGAGGGGAACAAAAAAAAAAGUCUUCCACUGCUGUCCCACAAUAUCUCCAAAACCUCUUCCGAGCAUCGUUUCCUCCACGAUCGCGUCUGCUCCUUUCGUCUGUCCUCCUGGGGCCUGUGGAGCUCCUCUCACCAUACCAGCCAAAUCAUACUCAUGUGGCUGCUUUCAGCAGGCCACUGAGGAUUACGUCCAGGCCACGCCUAGAGCAAGCAGGUGGCUCUCUCUGUGGGAGACACCGGCGUCUUCCUCCAGUCCAGUGGCUAUACGAAUGUGCUUUGGUGUCUGUGUACCUCUUCUCACGUCUCGGACAGUCUGAUCAAGAACAUAUCAACGGUGGACCAAAUGAGACACGUCUUUCCAAUGCCUGCCUGCACAUAAACUAACCCGGCCGUCACUUGAGUCCACAGGUAAAUGCUGGACUAGCACACAGACUGAAAUAACGUAACAGGGGCUGUAUUGUUUCCUUUUUUUCUUUAAGGAAACGGACCUAAGAUACAGUUCCUCCGAGGUCCAGACGUUGACAAGGUGCAUCUUAAAAUGGACAGAAAUUAGUUUUUAAUCUACAACAUUUGGCAACGUUGAGAUAACUUUAAAAAAAAGAACACUGGACUCUUGUUAGCAUGUUUUCCAAAGAAAGGCUGAGUAAGGACUGACUGAUCGUAGAAGCUGUUUGUUUUGGAUUGCAGUUUGAGUCUUAGCUUGAGGCAUCCUGCCUGCCCACCAAUCUCCCACACCCUCAAGUUUUCAGGUACAAAAAAAGGAAGCUAGGUGUUGUGGUUUUGGGAUCAUUAAAAAAAAUAUUAUAUAUAUGAAGCAGCAGAGACCGUAACUUAGUGUUUUCGAUGACAGACCGACCAACAUACAUUCCACAAUAUCUGUCUGUGCGUGUUCACCACUUUUGGGCCCAAAGUUUGUAGGCUUAGGAAGUUUACUAUGUCUGUCUGCUCAGGAGUGAAUGUAUGGGUGUAAGAGGUUUUUAAAGAAAGUAAGAAUGUGUGUGUUUACAUUAAUGUUAUGGGGCAGUUGUGUCUGUGUACACCUGAACAUUCCUCCCAUCACUGGUUUUUACCUCUAGCAGAUCAUCUCUUUCUACAACCUGUUGUGCGCUGCAGCCACGCACCCUAAAGGCAGCACAGAAAGAAUUCAACAUGUCAUGUAUCCACAAAAAAAAUGAGCACUAGCCAACUGUAUGCACACCUAUUUGUAAAUAUGUGCAAGAUAUACUGAAUGUUAAAUGCAAUGUAUGAAGAUUUAUUUAAAACUAUGCUUAAAAAAUAAUUUAUCUGUUUGAGCAAACUUAUAGCUAUCCAUCUCCUGACACGCCCUGCCUCUGCAAAUCUCUCCUGUAGACAAAGCUGUCCAUGCAUCUUUAAAUGUGGCCAAAAAAAAAAAAAAGAAGCUAAGCUUGCCAUCUCAUCAUCUCUCUUGUCAUUCUAACUAUCACUGAAAUGAAAUGCCAUGAGUCUUUUGUACAUUUGUUGAUAGCCCUGAGCCCUGGGUGAACGCCUCAGCCCAGAAACUUUGUAAAUGAGAUUAAAGAGAUCUGGUUCGGGGUCCAGAAUGCAGCUUGUCUGAUAGCGUAUGUGGUCAGUUUGGUUUGUUUUGAGCUUUGCACUAUGGCUGAUGCACUAUUGUUAUUAAUACAAUAUGUACAGAGUGGAUAUCAAAUGCAAUCGGGAAGAAGAAGGAAGAAAAUGAGAUGCGUCUUACCCCAUAUUUUUAGAGACUAUCUUUUUUGAAAUUAAUCAAUGAAAAGGAAUGAAAUCAAGACUGCCAAUGGAUUAAAAUGAAGGGAAAAUAAAAUAUUAAAACACGAAGCCACACCUCUUACUCUCGCAUGUCACUGCCUGUGUCUGUUGGUAUUUCACAGCUUUAAUCGAUGGUUAGACUUUCU